rnacentral:RNase_P_RNA from 1 species
UCAGAUGCACAGGACAUAGCCACAAUCGUAAGAUUGCGGAGGAAAGUCCGGACUGCGUGGGACAGCACACUGGUUAACGACCAGGCGGGGCGACCCGACGAUAAGAGGAACAGUAACGUAAGCGAUUAAAUUCGUUUGAAACGGCCAAUCUCUGUGUGCAGCAACUUCAAAUAGGCCUCCAAAAGAUUGUCCCAGUCUGGGGGCGGGUAGAGGGCUUGAUGCCCGAUGGUAACAUUGGGUACAGAUUAAUUAUGUCCACCACCCCACUGUGGUUUCGACUGUGGCGGGGCGGUACAGAAUCCGGCUUAUCGUGUAUCUGGGCCA